UGAUUCUGAGUUAAAGAAUUCAGAAUAAAGGGGCUUGCUUUGCCCGUUAACAAUAGGUAACCCAUUCCCUGUCUUUGUUUCUAUUGCAUUCUAUCUCAUCGUAUCACAUUCUGUCCUACGAGAUUAGAGAAUCACCAUCAAUACCUCGGUCUAGGUCCGAUAUAAUCCUUUGUUCCAUAGCCCUGGGGUGGGGCUAUUUACAACUAGCCAAUUAAGAAGUCUCAGAUGUACACUAGCACUGCAUCUUUGGUGUUACAUGUAUUGAUGGUGAUUCAUUAGAAGUAUAUAACUUAUAGAAACAUACAUGCCUAGUUGAGAUGGAAAUCAUAAUACCAUAAUGCUUUUCAAAUCCUCCUAGCCAUUAUCCUACUGCAAUAAUUCUUGCUAAGAAGAAUGCCCAUGUUGUGGCAAUUCCAUCCAGAAGGUAAUGGGUUACUACGGCACCUGGCGCAUUACCCCAAAGAUGUCCUAAAGUUCCUCCACUGAACUGUAGUACGGAAUCAUCCCCAAAGAUCUCGGUCAGAGCAGGCAUAUGCCAAAUAUGAAUACCUCCGGAAGCCACAGGUUGAACACCUGGUAAAGAGACCCAAUCUUGAGUGAAAUAAAUACCGCGACUUUGAUCUUGUUCAACAAAAUCAUCACGCAAUAAAUCAACAAAGCCCAAAGUUAUGUCUCUUUCACCUUCAAGUUUACCUACUACGGUACCAGCAUGAAUAUGAUCUCCACCAGACAUACGUAAUGCUUUUGCUAAUUCCCAGAAGUGGAUACCAUGAUUCUUCUUUCUAUCAAUAACCGCAUGCAUUGCACGGUGGAUGUGAAGAAGUAGACCAUUAUCUCAGCAAUAAUGAGCCAAGCUAGUAUUUACGGUGAAUCCCCUCAUUAAGUAGUUAUGCAUUACGAUUGGAACACCCAAUUCUCUAGCAAAUAUAGCUCUUUUCAUCAUUUCUUCACAUGUACCUACUGUAGCAUUCAAGUAAUGCCCUUUGAUUUCACCUGUUUCAGUCUGUGCUUUAAAAAGUGCUUCGGCACAAAAUAAGAAACUAUCUCUCCAAUGCAUAUAUGGUUGUGAGUUCACGUUCUCAUCAUCUUUGGUAAAAUCAAGUCCACCGUAAAGACAUUCAUAAACAGCUCUACCGUAGUUUUUAGCAGAUAACCCCAAUUUAGGUUUAAUAGUACAUCCCAACAGGGGACGACCGUACUUGUUCAAUUUAUCUGUUUCAACUUGGAUCCUAUGAGGCGGACCUUGGAAAGCUUUAAUAUAAGUAGUAGGGACUCGCAGAUCUUCUAGACGUAGAGCACACAGGGCUUUGAACCUAAAUACAUUACCUACAAUGGAAGUAAACAUGUUGGUAACGGAACCUUCUUCAAAAAGGUCUAAAGGGUAAGCUACAUAAGCAAUAUAUUGAUGUUUUACUCCAAUAACACGCUCGAUGCGGUAGCAUCACCCUUUGUAACGAUCAAGACUAGUAAGUCCAUCGGUCCAUACAGUUGUCCAUGUACCAGUAGAUGAUUUGGCAGCUACCGCGGCCCCUGCUUCUUUAGGUGGAACUCCAGGUUGAGGAAUUACUCGGAAUGCUGUCAAUAUAUCAGUAUCCUUGGUUUGGUACUCAGGAGUCUAAUAAGUUAAUUUGUACUCUUUAACACCAGCUGUGAAUCCAACACUUGCUUUAGUCUCUAUUUGUGGUGACAUAAAUCCCUCCCUACAACUCAUGAAUUAAGAAUUCUCACAACAACAAGGUCUACUCGACACGAAUUACGCGUUAAUGAAACUUUUCACAGGAAUCUUUCAGAAAAUUUCCAACUAAUACUAAUAUUAUCAAUUAAUCAGAAUGGUUGAUUAUUAGACCAUGGUAUUUGAUUUGCCAAAUACAUCAUUAUUGUAUACUCUUUCAUAUAUAUAGCGCAACCCAAUUUUGAUUUUUUACCUUUUUUUUUGAAAUGGAAAUACCUAACUAAACUAAAUAAUAAGAACUUCCCCCUUGACAGUGGUAUAUGUUGUAUAUGUAAAUCCUAAAUGUGAAAAUAUAUGGAAUUCCGCUAUGAAAGGUAUAAAAAAGAAAGAAAAACGCAAAGAAAAGAAUAGGCUAGGCAUAAAUCAAUAUGCUGAAAUUUAACUAAAAAAUAAAUAAGAAAAAUAAGAAGAGGAGCCCAUUAGAUCCAAAUAGUGAAUCGUAAUAGAAAUAUAAAAUAAAGUUCAGGUUCGAAUUCCAUAGAAUAGAUAAUAUGGAUGGGAUUGUCUAUAAUGAUAGACAAAUGAAAGACUUUCUCAAGAUUCUGAUUCAUCCACUUGAGAUUUUUAAAUUAAAAUAGGUUGGGUGAGCUUGCAAAUUAACUCAAUCUCAUUGAAUAAGUAAACAAUUGAAUUGGUUCAAUUGCAUGGUGCCAACGAAAUUGAGUGCUAAUUCCCAUUUUAUUGAAUUAACCGAUCGACGUACUAGCGGACAUUUACUUUGAAUUCGAUAAUUUUUGAAAAAACAUUUUGACAUAUUUAUUUAUUUUAUUAUUAUAAGAAUCAAUCCUACUAAUUAUGGUUCUGGGGUUUCCACACUUGAAAAAAAAAACUGGGGUGUGUCGUCCAAAUCAUCGGUCUGGUACUAGAUGUAGCCUUUCCUCCGGGCAAGAUGCCAAAUAUUUAUAACGCUCUCGUAGUUCAAGGGCGAGAUAGUAUUGGUAAACCAAUUAAUAUGGCUUGUGAGGUACAACAAUCAUUAGGAAAUAAUCAAGUUAGAGUUGUAGCUAUGAGUGCUACAGACGGUUUAAUGAGAAAAAUGGAAGUGAUUGACACAGAAGCUCCUAUAAGUGUUCCGAUCGGAGGGGCAACUCUGGGAUGAAUUUUUAACGUGCUCGGAGAGAUGUUGUUAAUUUAAGGCCUGUAGAUACCAGUACAACAUCUCCUAUUCAUAGAUCUACGCCCGCCUUUAUACAGUUGGAUACAAAAUUAUCUAUUUUUCAAACAGGAAUUAAAGUAGUAGAUCUUUUAGGCCCUUAGCGUCGUGGAGGAAAAAUUGAACUAUUCAGGGGAGAUGGAGUGGGUAAAACAGUACUCAUUAUGGAAUUGAUUAACAAUAUUGCUAAAUCUCACGGGGGCGUAUCUGUAUUUGGCGGAGUGGGUGAACGUACUCAGGAAGGAAAUGAUCUUUACACGAAAAUGAAAGAAUCUGGAGUGAUUAAAGAAAAAAAUAUUGCGGAAUCAAAAGUGGCCGUAGUUUAUAGUCAGAUGAAUGAACCACCAGGAGCUCGUAUGAGAGUUGGUUUGACUGGCCUAACUAUGGCGGAAUAUUUCUGAGAUGUUAAUGAGCAAGAUGUACUUCUAUUUAUUGACAAUAUCUUCCGUUUCGUCCAAGCAGGAUCCAAAGUAUCAGCCUUAUUGGGUAGAAUGCCUUCCGCUGUGGGUUAUCAACCGACCCUAAGUACUGAAAUGGGUUCUUUACAAGAAAGAAUUACUUCUACCAAAGAAGGGUCCAUAACCUCUAUUCAAGCAAUUUAUGCACCCGCAGACGAUUUGACCGACCCUGCUCCUGCUAAGACAUUUGCACAUUUAGAUUCUACUACCAUACUAUCAAGAGGAUUGGCUGCCAAAGGUAUUUAUCCAGCAAUAGAUCCUUUAGAUUCAACAUCAACCAUGCUUCAACCUCAGAUCAUUGGUGAGAAACAUUACGAAACCGCCCAACGAGUUAAGCAAACUUUACAACGUUACAAAGAAAUUCAGGACAUUAUAGCUAUCCUUGGAUUGGAUGAAUUAUCUGAAGAGGAUCAUUUACUCGUAGCAAGAGCAUAAAAAAUUGAGCGUUUGUUAUCACAACCCUUUUUCAUAGCAGAAGUAUUUACUGGUUCUCUAGGGAAAUAUGUUGGUCUAGCAAAAACAAUUUGAGGAUUUCAAUUGAUCCUUUCCGAAGAAUUAGAUGGUCUUCCUGAACAGGCUUUUUAUUUGGUAGGUAAUAUCGAUGAAGCUACCGUGAAGGCUAUGAACUUAGAAAUGGAGAGCAAUUUGAAGAAAUAACCUUAAAUCUUAGUGUACUGACUCCUAAUCGAAUUGUUUGGGAUUCAGAAGUGGAAGAAAUCGUGCUAUAUACUAAUAGUGGUAAAAUUAGCAUAUUACCAAAUCACGCCCCUAUUGCCACAGUUGUAGAUAUAGGGAUUUUGCGAAUACGCCUUAACAACCAAUGGUUAACGAUGGCUCUGAUGGGUGCUUUUACUAGACUAGGCAAUAAUGAGAUCACUGUUUUAGUAAAUGAUGCAGAUAAGGGUAGUGACAUUGAUCCACAAGAAGCUCAGCAAACUCUUGAAAUAGCGGAGGCUAAUGUGAAAAAGGCUGAAGGAAGGAGACAAUAAAUUAAGGCAAAUCUAGCUCUCCGAAGAGCUAGAACACGGGUGGAGGCUAUCAAUCUGAUUUCAUAACAAGUUAGUACGACUAGUUAGUACAUUCGAAUAAUAAAAAGAAGUUCUUUUUCUAAUCCUAUUUAGAUUCUGUCGGGUGAAUACAAUCAAAUACAAUCAAACAGAAGCCAAUUCUGAUGCAAAAAUUCAAAUUUAAAAAUGAAAUAGAAAAGAUACAAAAUCAAAAAAUAAAUAUCACUAAAGGUGGGUUGUAACCCAUAUUAGAUACCAUUGACUCUGGUAUCUAAUAAGUUUUACCUACUAUUAGAUUUGAACCAAUGACUCCCUCCGUAUGAAAGCAGUACUCUAACCACUGAGUUAAGUAGGUCAUUUAUCAUUCCAAAGAGAACCAAACGAAACCCAUCCUGUCGAUGGAUUAUAAAUAUCAUAUUACUUAUAAGCAAUACUAAUCUAAUAAGCAAUACUAAUCUAAGGAAUACCACUCAAAGAGAUCAAAGAUUGUUGAUGUUGGAUCAUGGAAUAUUUAUCUUGACAAGAAUUUAUCUACAUGAUAAAAUAUGUAUCACAAGCACUAAGGGCUAUAGCUCAGUUGGUAGAGCAACUCGUUUACACGCGCGCCAAUGUUUUUCAAGGGAGUUCAUCAUACAAUCAGAAAAAUCGAUCUUGUUGAGAAAUCGAUGUCUUACUCCAUAACUUUGAGGGAACCAUAGCCUGACAAAGGGUUCGGUCCAAUUUGGACGUCCAUUUAGGAGGUGCCAAACAGACCCCAUCAUUGAUUUGAGAUCUUGAUAAGGUGAAUACCCAGUCUAUUCAAUGCUAGGCAUAAUGAGAGUAUAAGGACCUCAAAAAAAUCUCUUUUCGUCAUAUGAACUUUAAGGUGUAUGAAGUUUCAUAUUUGAUUUUUUAAGCAGAAACGAUAGAGACUUCAUUUAACUUAGGUUUAUUUACGCCAGAGAUAGACCUACGUCAAGAUAAUCCCACCUUUGAAACACUUUAGUAAUGCUCCCAAAUAAUGAAUCAGAGCAUGUGGAGCC
rnacentral:lncRNA from 1 species